GAUGAACGCUGGCGGCGUGCCUAAUACAUGCAAGUCGAGCGAACAGAUAAGGAGCUUGCUCCUUUGACGUUAGCGGCGGACAGGUGAGUAACACGUGGGUAACCUACCUAUAAGACUGGGAUAACUUCGGGAAACCGGAGCUAAUACCGGAUAACAUUUGGAACCGCAUGGUUCUAUAGUGAAAGAUGGUUUUGCUAUCACUUAUAGAUGGACCCGCGCCGUAUUAGCUAGUUGGUAAGGUAACGGCUUACCAAGGCAACGAUACGUAGCCGACCUGAGAGGGUGAACGGCCAAAAUGGAAAUGAGACAAGGUCCAGAAUCCUAAGGGAGGCAGCAGUAGGGAAUCUUCCGCAAAGGGCGGAAGGCUGAAGGAGGAAAGCCGCGGGAGGGAUGGAGGGUUUCGGCUCGGAAAACUCUGUUAAUAGGGAAGAACAAACGUGUAAGGAACUGUGCACGGCUUGAAGGUACCUAAUCAGAAAACCAAGGCUAAAUACGUG
rnacentral:rRNA from 1 species